GUCAUUGUGUUCUUUUCCUGAGUCAUUCCUCACCUUGUAACUCUGUAAUGUGCAGCCUGCUCUGCCGUGACACCGGGGCCAGGCUCAGCCUGCUCCCUGCUCAGUGGAAGGAGGAAAUGUAUCCACUCUGCUGCUGCUGCUGCUGCUUUCAGGUAUCUGUUUCAGUGGCUCACUGCAGUGAUGCACAGCACCCCUCCAGCGCUCACAGAGAGGAGACAAUCAUCAUCAUUAAGAGGUGUGAGGCCGUCAUUGUGGAUCUUGACGUGCAAGGUGGACCUCAGCAAAUUCCACAUUGCUUCUGUGAAACAGACAUUCAGGUUAAUGUUAUAUAUAAACCAGCUGAGUCCCAGCAUGCCACAGACCCUAAAUCACAUCUCCUGCGUGCAAACUGAAAAGAAAAGGGAUGAUGAAUAAGGGAUGCCUACUGAAAUGUUACAUAAACAUUCAGGUGCUGGUAGAAAUGUAUUACACACAUGGGUAUCACUGCAGGCAUUUCUGGGAUAAAGCCUCUCCAAAGGAAAACAGUUGGACAGUUUUAUUGAUAAGGUUCUUCUGAAAGGAAAGGACAGUCGGCUUUCUUUCAAAGGCAAAGAAAAGGAUCAAAGUGAUCCAGAUAGUUUGCUGUAUUUAAAAAGUAUUUUAUGACAUUCUAGCAAACUGUAUUUAUAAAAAUGGUGCAAAGAGAUGUUGAUGUAUGAAGACCUGCUUAUGUUGCCCUGGAAACUGAAUUUUCAAGCUAAUUUAGGAAAAUCUGCUCUGUCUAAAGCUUUCUGAAGUCUUGUCUCAAGCAAAUAAGAAGGCUUUUUAUCACAGAACUGCAAAAUGAUGUAAUAUUUAAAAUCAUUUCUAGCCACAUAGGAUUGAAAUGUUUUUAAAUUCUUCACCCAUAACUAUUUGAAUGCAAUAUUUUGUUGUUACCAUUACAGUCUGCAUUGUCCAGGAUGCAUUGGAGAGUGCAGCUCUGUUUUAAGACAUGAUUAUGCAAAAAUGGCAUUCCCUUUCUCAGUAUUUUCCCUCUACUAAGAAUACCGGAUUGCAGCCAUGUCCCCCACUUGUGAGUGAAGAUUGUCAGUAUGUUUUACUGCUCUUGAUUUUAUACAGGGUGUACAGUGCUAGGAGAGGAAGAGGAGGCUUGAUUUUGGUUUUCUGAUUAGUGUGUUUUUGAUUAGACUUGAACCAGUAAGUGUGCCAUCUUUAUCUCUUGCCUUAGAUUCCUCCAUUUGGGCAUUUAGGAGAGAUAUCAAAUAUUUUGCAGAUGGAUGUUAGGUAACUUUGAUCCAGAAAAACAAUAAAAAUAAACAGUAUGAAGGCUUGCAAUGCUGCAUGACACUGUGGAAUUAAUACUGUUGCUUUUACAAUUAAAUCCAAAGUAUUUAUUAUUUUGUACUGCCUUUUUUUUUUCUUUUAACUGAAGUACAGCUGAUUUUCUGGAUUUAUGCAGAUUUUUCUAAAUUGUGGGUUUCCAAAAGCUUCCAAAAUCUGGUUUUCUUUCCUCCUUAUGAGGAUGGUAAUAAGUACUGCAUGCGCCCAUUCUCCUCCUCACAGCAUAAAGAGCAUAUGGGUAUUAGAUGACUUCAUAGGUUCAGAAACUAUAAUUAGGGCUUUCUGUCUUGUGUGAGGUUUCACAUCAGUCUUGGGAGCUUCCAGUAGUUUCUCUGAUCUUAUUUGUAUUUUAAAAUCCCGUGUUGUACGACCAUGCUUGCUGAAGAGUCAGCAAGGAUUUGGGGUGGGGUGAGGCUGCAGCGGCGUCUGCCCGUUCCCACGGCUGAGGCUGUGCAGCCAUCAGAGCCAGAAGCUGCACAGGUCUGGCAUUUCAGGGAAAUAUUGGAGGUGCACGGACACACUGCACAGCCAGUGCUAAUGUACUAAUGUAGGGGAGCCCAAGCCUGAGUGGUGGGAGUUUGGCCAAGUUUAUGUGGUCUUAGAGUGCUUUUUAAAAAAACAAAAGGAUUUUGCUUCUGAACUGGGUCAUUUUAAUAUGGAAACAAUGAGACACAGUAAACCAGGAGCCACAUGAGGCCAUUGUUUUUUAGAGUGGGUUUGUACUCCAAAAAAAAAAAUUUACAGCUUUUAGCAGGAUGCAGCCCACUUGAAUUCAAGUGAGGUUCAAUGCCACUUCAGGAAAAUCCAUGAAAUCUGUUUGGUGGUCUGUAUAAUCAUUUUAUUGAAAAUACCUACAAGCAAAACUGCAUGGAUCAUAUGUAAUUUUAUCCUUUUUAAAGCAUUUGCUUUUUAUAGCAAACAGUUGCAUAUCUCAAGAGGACUCUAUUUGCUGUACAGAAGUGAUGAGUUUAACAAAUAGAAAUGGAUUACUGCAUGGGCUACUCUCAGCCAUUUAAAAUCUUAUUCUGUGCAGAAGCACAAAAACAUGCAAAAAGAGAAGUGUAGGACAGUCCAAGACUGGACAGUAAAGAUAAAUGUCACCCAUUUCAGAAAGGAGGAAGAGCCAGUGGAAAAAACAGAGCUUUUGCCUUGCUAUGAAAUCCUUUGUGUUGGACAGCCCCGUGUUGCUCCUUUGGUGUGUAAGGAUGGAAGAGAGCACAAAGGAGCCUGUCCAUCCUCAGGCACUGAUUGUGCAGGCAGAGCGUUCAUGCUUUCUGUGCCUGGAAAAACAGCUGAUGCUCUUGUGACUAAAGUCAGGGAGAGGCCAGGUGUUCUCAUCACGUUGCUCACUCUCACGGUAUUUUGCAUGUCUCAGUCAUGAAAAGCUUUCCCUCUGCCCACACUUGUGCCUGAAAAACACAUCCAAGCUCCUUCUGAGACGGGCACCCGGAUUCUGCUGGUUGUGGAAUGCUGGGCAAGGACAGCCAGCCCAGUAGAGGCCCAAAGGGCAAAGCCAAGCCACAGAGGUCAGGGCUGUGGGAAGGGGGCUGGACAACAGCCCCUGCCCAUCAGCAGGUGCUGGUGCUGUUGGAGAUGUGUGCUGCCUGACAAGCUGUUCCACUAGCUCGGGAUCUGGUGGUGUUCCCGCAAAGAAUGAGCUCCGGAAUUCUGAAAUGCUAAUCAGACAGCAGAGCCUUGCCUCAGAGCCGUUCCCAAGGGGAAGCUAUUCUGGAGCUAUACAUUCUUGAAACUCUAAGUCCUAAAAGCAGCUUUAUCUCUGAGCCCGCACAGACCUGGGAGCCUUGAACAAGCCAGUGGCCCAGCCAGGGAGCUGUCGAGGAGGUAGGCAGGUGUCAUGGCAGGAAGCCUGGGGACUUCUUGAACAAACUACUCUGAUCUUGCAAAACUUCUAUAAAAUGAAACCAAUGUCACUAAGCAUUUUGGAGGCACAAAUGUAAGUAUUCUUUUGAUUUGAGAUAAGGGAAUAUUGGCUAGUUGGAUGGGUUUUUUUUCUUUUUGUUUCAUCAGCCCUUAUUUUUCAGCAGCAUUAGGUAAUUAUGUUGCCAAGUAACUCACUGCCCUCUUGAAAUUCCUGUCUUAAAAUAAAGUACCCUGUAGUGCAUGGUGAUGCGGAUGUAAGCAGAUUUUAGGGAGCACACUCAUAUGUUUGGAGGCAAUUUUUUGCCAUGGGGCUGCUUAAUGAAGUGGCUUAAGGCUCUAGUGGGACCAGAGUUGCUUCCAGAUGUGCAUUGCAGAUGAACACAUAGCACAUAUUCGAGGCACUGUGGCAGCUCCAGUGAGGCCACCCAAGCUGCAGCCACACAGCUGAGGAGGAGGAAGAGGGCAGACCUUCACAGCAGCCCGCUGGGUUGUGCUUGGAAGCACAGAGUGCAGGACGUGGGGGCACUGGGGCUGCUACCUUCGCUUGCCUGUUGGAACACGCUGCAUCCCACGAAGCAGAAAACGCUGCUCCCUCUGCUACAGAAAAAGCGUUACAUUUUUAAAGAAAAGCUACGAGCUCAUGAGUGAUGUAUGAGAGCAAAUGGCUUUCUAACCCAUUCACCCUUGCAAGAAGGAACCAUGCCAGUACUUUGUGCUUGGGUAGAGCCUGCUGUCUUCCUGUGUCAGCUCAGGUGUGAGGGUAUUGCCCUGUCUGGUCGGUGCUGCAAUGGACCAGCCCAAGGCAGCACUCAGUGCCAGCACUGCAGCUCCAUGCUUCCCACCCUCCUACACUUACCACAAAUCUCAGAUGAGUCUUUUGAGACUUCUUGCAGAUAAUGUAUAUCUACCCUUUAGCUCUUAAAGCUGCUCUUCAGAGCGAUAGAAGGCAUUAAUUUUGGGGGGAAUAAUUUGGACAUAUAAUUAGAGUGAUGUAUGUGGCACAUGGUAUCGUUCCGAUGGAGCAUGAUCAGCAGCCAUGUUAGCCAGUAAAUCAUGAACCAAAGGAAAUCUAAAGCUGACUGAAGUCAAAUCAGCAGUAUAACAAAACAUGACAGCUAAGUAUAUAUUUGAGUCUCUGCAGAUAUUUAUACCGUGUGCUCAUGGGGCAGUAGUAACGUACAUCUGUCUGUUGGCUCUGCUCAUGCAUUUAAUAUAAACGUGUUAUUUGUUCUCUUGGCCCUAUGGACUAACAUCAGUAUUAGCUGUUUCUAUAACAUUACCAGACCUUCUUCUAGCCAUCAUAGGAAACUAUUGUCAGGCUGGUUUUAAAUUUAUUACUUCUCAUAGAAGUAAUGUCACAGCCCAUCUGAACUCCUCGAUCAAUGUGCUGUUAAAGCCAGGGCAGCUUAUCACCGACUUUCAGACCUGUCAUCUAAAAUUACUUUCUGCGCACCCUCUUAAAUUUCCAAACUUCCUAUAAACUCUUGAAUUUAUGACUGCAUUGGUUUUGGUCCCUGUGGUGUAUUUGAAAGGUGGCCACAGUUUGAUAGCACUGUAAAAGGAGCAGUAAGAGUGACUUACAAUUCUACUUCUGAGAAAUCAUCUCUAUAAGGUGAAACUGAUUAACUGAAGUCAGCAGAAGUUUUACUAUUGACCUGCAAGAGCUCAUGACUGCAUCUUUUACACCUGUCCUGUAUUAUUCUCGGAUUUAUCAGCAGAUACAAUGCUUUAGGGGGAUUUCUCUGAAGCUCCCCACCAGCCAGCAGGUUCUGUAACAAAUGGGUAAGGCUCCUGGUUACUUUAGAUCCAGAGUAAAGCUGCUGUUCUGGAUUUAUUUUGACAUAAUGAAAAGUAAAUAGACCCUCAGUUUGAAAUUAAAUUAAUCCUCUUGGUCUUAAUGAACCCAGCCAAAUUAUGAAGCUCAUGUGCAAACAAGGCAAGCAGUCCUAAGACUUUGCCCCUCGGCAGCAUGCAGGGAGAUUUAGGACUUGGCUUUCCUCUUCCUUCCCACUUGAUUCUAAAAUAAUGGCUUUUGAAGCUUUCAAAGCAUCUGCAGUGAGAACAGAGGGCUUUUUUUUUUAUUUAACAGUAUUUGGUUUGCAGUACAAUUCCUGUCAUUUAGGACUAACAAGUAAGUUGAGUAUAGUUAAGUACAAAACUGGGACAUUCCCAGUGCACUGUGGAGAGGAGGACUGACCUCCUGCCGUGGUGCUUUUGAGCUUGGUGGAGUUAGCAAGACAUCAUCCUUAGUUAUCAACUGAACCAGAGAUGAGUAAAGUGACUGAGACAUGGAUGUUCUGCCUUUUAUGAAGUAUUGUCAGCUGGGGUUAGAUGCCCACUUGGUUCAGGAAGCACAGCACUGGUGAGUUUCAGGUUCUUCAUUGGAAAAAAAAAAAACAUCUUCUGAUGUAAAUUCACUGAAAUAACCUUGAUAUAUUUACUGAUAUGAAAUUGCUAAAGUAAGAUGGUUUCCUGUGCUUACACAACAGGCAAGGAGCCUUAGUUAUUACAAGGACAUCACACAACCCAAUAAUCCUGAACAUAAGGCUCACACAUUUUCUAAACAUUAGGUAUCUGAAAUAUUUCCAGGUUUUAAAUGUUUCUCAGGAGUGUUGAUAAGCCCUUAAGCAGUGGGUUAGUGCAUAAAAUCUAAUCAAAUGCAAAGGAAGAACAAAUGAGAGAGGAGAAAAGUUGACUUCUGCAUUUGUAAUUAUUAUUCUGGGAUUAAUAAGGUUAGAUUCAAAGCCUAUCUGACUGUAUGGGAUUAGCAAUAACACAAUUACUGUCAGAAGCAAGGUUUUCACAAUGAAAAUAUCUCUGUAAAUUGAGAUUUUAAUGAAUUGAAACUUCCUUGUACAUAAAUAUAAUUAAGAUGAUCUCAGUCAAGGCAAUAAUUGGUUUAAGUCAAGUGUAAGAUACUUGGGAGUAUGUGUUUUUUCUUUCUUGUGUGUAUUUUAUUCUUAAUUAUCCUUGGGUUCCCAGAAAUGUAACUCUGAGCUGUAUUGCUGUGUGUGAAGCAGCUAAUUUGCACUCACAGAAUCUUUCAUGAGUUCUCAUGAGUGAGGUGCUGCCAUCCCAGUGUUGUAGACAUCAUUUUUGAUAGACAGAUAUUUCAUGCUUGUUGGAAGAGGUGCUUCUUGAGGCAGUUUUAGGAAUUGUAUGUACAGUAAUUAAUAUUGGCCUUUGUAAAUACUGUUAUUACAAUGUUAAGGUUUAUUCCUAAAUAAAGGAAGUCAAGAUUUAA